UAGCUCAGUCGAUUAGAGCAUGGUGCUGAUAACACCAAAGUCACAGGUUCGAUCCCUGU
rnacentral:tRNA from 1 species